rnacentral:rRNA from 1 species
CCUACGGGAGGCAGCAGUGAGGAAUAUUGGUCAAUGGACGAGAGUCUGAACCAGCCAAGUCGCGUGAAGGAUGACGGCCCUACGGGUUGUAAACUUCUUUUGUCAGGGAGCAAUUGAGUCCACGUGUGGGCUUAGCGAGAGUACCUGAAGAAAAAGCAUCGGCUAACUCCGUGCCAGCAGCCGCGGUAAUACGGAGGAUCCGAGCGUUAUCCGGAUUUAUUGGGUUUAAAGGGAGCGUAGGUGGAUUGUUAAGUCAGUUGUGAAAGUUUGCGGCUCAACCGUAAAAUUGCAGUUGAAACUGGCAGUCUUGAGUACAGUAGAGGUGGGCGGAAUUCGUGGUGUAGCGGUGAAAUGCUUAGAUAUCACGAAGAACUCCGAUUGCGAAGGCAGUUCACUGGACUGCAACUGACACUGAGGCUCGAAAGUGUGGGUAUCAAACAGGAUUAGAUACCCCUGUAGUC